AGUGUAUUGUUUUUGACAUGGUUAACUGAGGGGACAGGAAUGGCACACAAUUCAGCAAAUUUUAUUUUUUCUAUGAUAUAUAUCACUGAGAUAACACGGUGAGUAGUCAUCUCUACUGUUUUUUGUUUGUUGAUUUUUUUGAAUCAGAGAUCAAGAUUAAAUACUUUUGGAAAAGGCAAGUGAAAUGCUACUUUUUUAAAACUUUACCAGCAUUCUCUUAACCGAAUGUAAUUUACUUCCUUUUCUGCCUUAUGAAAACUUCUACUUUGUCUCACCUAUAAAAUUUCUCAGCAUUUUUCUUCAAACUGGGAGGCCCUUGUAAUUUGAAUAUUAAAAUGUUUGUUGCCUUUUUUCUUGUUGCUCAAAUUUAUCCUGGCUCAUGGGUCAAUGUAUUCCUUACUCAGCUGUUGUGCUCAUUUAUCUCACUAAUUAGCUAGCUCUCUCCUGGAAGAGAGCUCCUGGAGUUCCCAUUGUGGCUCAGCGGUAAUGAUCCUGACUAGUAUCUAUGAGGAUGCAGGUUUGAUCCCUGGCCUUGAUCACUGGGUUAAGGAUCUGGCAUUGGUGUUUCCAUGAGCUGCAUGGUUUGGAUCUGGCAUUGCUGUGGCUGUGGUAUAGGUCAUCAACUACAGCUUCAAUUUGAGCUGAGAAGUUCCAUAUGCCAAAGAUGUGGCCCUCAAAAAAGCAAAAAAUAAAAAUAAAAAAAAGAGAGAGUUCCUUGCUUUUUCUUGGCUGAUAUCUGUCUGUGUUGGGAAGCUCUGCACCGUCUUUUAUUCCUAGAGCUUCUUUUUCCAUCCCACCUUGCUUUGAUUAUUCAGACUUUUUCUAAGACUGAAAGAGAAAGGCUGAUAAUAUAUCUCUUUCUCUCAAGGCUGGCUCUAAUCCUGAGACAAUUUCUUUCUAACUGGGAGAAAAGUUACCUUAGCAACUAAGCAACUAAUUAACUCAAUUAAAUUUCCCCCUCCUCCUUUAUCAAUAUUCAAUUAACAUUAAAUCGCUUCUUUGCUAUGCUCUGUAGUUUUAUAACUCUAUGAGCAAAUAGCUGAAGUGGACCAAGGAUUGCAGGGGGCAGGAUGAGGAAUGUCUCAGAGGGGCCAAAAUGUUCAGGUGAGGACUCAGAACCUGAAGGCAACACCUUCAUUCCCCAACUUCCCUUAGCACAUUUUAAGAUCUUUGGAUGCAAUUUAGAUGCAGCUGUUGGGAAUAGAAGGGGCAGGAACAGAACUCAGAAGUGACCAAGAUUGUUUCUAGCACUCAGUAGAAUGGCAUUCAGAAGCAGAAAUAGGUUGAUGUAAAGAAAAACAAAUUCCCAUUGUGGUGCAGCAGAAACAAAUCCAGCUAGUCUCCAUGAGGAUUCGGGUUUGAUCCCUGGCCUCACUCAGUGGGUAGGGGAUCCAGCAUUGUCAUGAACUGUGGUGUAGCUUGCAGACACAACUCGGAUCCCACCUGGCUGUGGCUGUGGCUGUGGCUGGCAGCUAUAGCUCUGAUUCCAACCCCUAGCCUGGGAACUUCCAUAUGCUGUGGGUGCGGCCUUAAAAUAAUUAAAAAAUGAAAAAUAAUGGAGGGGAAAUGAAGCAAAUCCUAGCAAAUUUAAAAACUGUUUUUACUAUGAAAGUCAAGUAGUAAAAGAUGGAUUUUCCCUAAAAGAAUCAAAGUAGAAAUGAGUUGGAUUCUAACAUAUUCUGGAAGGUUGGUUUGGAAAUCCACAUAUUUUCCUCACCUUCUCCAAAUGCGGAAACAUUGCUCAGCCAUGAUUGAAUUUGCUUCCUUAACUUCAUUAUCACCAGCCUUAGACAAUUUCUACAUUCUGAACAUGACAUAUACUUCUUAUCUACAUCAUCCUUUCUAGGAGUGAGUGGGAAUAAGAAUAAAUGCAUUUAUUCUCUUCUGUCAAAUUAAGCCUUUAGACGAAAUGUGUGAAUUGAUACAUAAACAUGCAAAAUCAUCUCAUUGACCCUUGUUAGGUGCUUAAUAUCUGUGUACUGAGUACUUCAAUGAUCUCAUUAGGAAUGCUUUAGGAAGUUAAUACUGUAGCCCCAUUAUGCAAAUGAGGGUAUUAAGGCAUUCAAAUAUAUGUACCUGUGUUAAAGGCACACACCAAGUUAGCAAAGAUCUGGGAUUUGGAUCCAGAUCAGUUGAAUGCCAAAGAUAAUUUUUUCAGUUACUAUCCACGCUAUCCACAUGAGCAGAGGAGAGAAAUGAUAUUCCUACUUAAGGACAUACUGUUUAAUGCCCUGUCUAGAGCAACUCUGACCUUGACAAGUUAUCAGAUAAAGAGGAUAUUUCUAGAGGUACAAGUCAAGUGUGUAUUGAAGAGUCUGGUCCUAAAAUUUUAAGUGGUGAGAUUAUUAUAUAAAACAUUUGUACAAAUUGUUUAUGUGCAGCUAACCCUGGGACUCAGGGCUACUGAUUUUAACAAAUAAAAUGACUAGGUGACCAUUUACUUUAAAUUUCAGAUAAACAACAAAAAAUGCUUAGUACAAAGACAUUCUUUGCACUAUUUGGGAUAUACUUAUACUAAAAAAAUUUAUUAAUUAUCUGAAAUUCAAAUUUUACUAGAUGUUCAGAAUCUUAUCAGGCAACCUUACAGGUCUAGGUUCUGUCACUGCUAAGUAUGUGAUUAUUUGUCACUGUUCUGCCUAAUACUGAGCCCUACUACAGUGGCUAAGACCAGAAAAAAAAUCACACAGACUCACACGUGCUGCUCCUAGCAUGUACAUCAUGAUCCAGAGCAGUGCUUGGGAGGAUAGUCCAUGUGGGAAUUUGGCCUUGGACUAGUCUUUUCCAGCACCUCCUUUCUCCUACCUGGAGCUCCUGACUGAAGAGUCACACCUUGGGAUCCAUGCUUGAUUCUCCUGCUCCUUUUCUCUCAUCUGUUUUUCCCCCUGAUCCCAAACAUGCCAGUCAUUGCCUUCACAUUCAGUACCUAGGCACACAUGAGUCUGGAGUUGGAAUUUAGGGCUAGAAAGACUCCUGGAGAUUGUUUCACAAUGAGGAAACUGAGGACCUUAUAG
rnacentral:lncRNA from 1 species